rnacentral:misc_RNA from 1 species
GCAAACUUGGUCAUUUAGAGGAAGUAAAAGUCGUAACAAGGUCUCCGUUGGUGAACCAGCGGAGGGAUCAUUACAGAGUUGCAAAACUCCCAAACCAUUGUGAACGUUACCUUCUAUCGUUGCUUCGGCGGGCGGCCCCGGGACUCUCCCGGGGCCCCUCGGCCCCCACGGGCGCCCGCCGGAGGUAUCUAACUCUUGACAAUUCUAUGGCCUCUCUGAGUCUCUGUACUUAAUAAGUCAAAACUUUCAACAACGGAUCUCUUGGUUCUGGCAUCGAUGAAGAACGCAGC